rnacentral:rRNA from 1 species
UUGCGGUGCUGCAUUUCGUUGAUGGGAGCCUUGUGGGCGAUAAGCUGCGAUAAGCUUCGGGUAGGCGCACAUAGCCAGUGAUCCGGAGAUUUCCGAAUGAGGGAACUCACAUGGGAAACCCCAUGUACCGUAUAGUGAAUACAUAGCUAUACGGAGGUAAACCUAGGGAACUGAAACAUCUAAGUACCUAGAGGAAGAGAAAGAAAAAUCGAUUUUCUGAGUAGCGGCGAGCGAAAGGGAAAGAGCCCAAACCAGUGACUUGUCACUGGGGUUGCGGACAGAGCAUUAACGAGAAGAUGUUAUUAACCGAACAUAACUGGAAAGUUAGACCGUAGGAGGUAAUAGUCCUGUAGGUGAAAGUAACAUUUAUCAAGCUUUGAUCCAGAGUACCACGAGACACGUGAAACCUUGUGGGAAGCAGGGAGGACCACCUCCCAAGGCUAAAUACUACCUGAUGACCGAUAGUGAAGCAGUACCGUGAGGGAAAGGUGAAAAGAACCCCGGGAGGGGAGUGAAAUAGAACCUGAAACCGUGUGCCUACAACCGGUCAAAGCCCCAUAUGAGGGUGAUGACGUGCUUUUUGUAGAACGAGCCAACGAGUUACGGUAUGUAGCAAGGUUAAGUACUUAAGGUACGGAGCCGAAGGGAAACCGAGUCUUAAUAGGGCGACUAGUUGCAUGCCGUAGACCCGAAACCGGGUGACCUAUCCAUGGCCAGGUUGAAGCGAGGGUAAAACCUCGUGGAGGACCGAACCACGUUGCUGUUGAAAAAGCAUGGGAUGAGCUGUGGAUAGCGGAGAAAUUCCAAUCGAACUCGGAGAUAGCUGGUUCUCCCCGAAAUAGCUUUAGGGCUAGCGUCGGAUAUGUGUAGUGGAGGUAGAGCACUGAAUGGGCUAGGGGGCAUAUCGCUUACCGAACCUUAUCAAACUCCGAAUGCCAUAUACAUUUAGUCCGGCAGUCAGACUACGAAUGAUAAGAUCCGUGGUCAAAAGGGAAACAGCCCAGAUCGUCAGCUAAGGUCCCAAAGUGUAAGUUAAGUGGAAAAGGAUGUGGGAUUUCUAAGACAACUAGGAUGUUGGCUUAGAAGCAGCCACUCAUUUAAAGAGUGCGUAAUAGCUCACUAGUCGAGAGAUCCUGCGCCGAAAAUGUCCGGGGCUAAAACUUACCACCGAAGCUACGGGCUUGCGUAAGCAAGCGGUAGGGGAGCGUCGUAAUCGGGCUGAAGUCGUACCGUAAGGAGCGGUGGACUGAUUACGAGUGAGAAUGUUGGCAUUAGUAGCGAGAUGUAGGUGAGAAUCCUACAGGCCGAAUAUCUAAGGUUUCCUCAGGAAGGCUCGUCCGCUGAGGGUUAGUCGGGACCUAAGCCGAGGCCGAAAGGCGUAGGCGAUGGACAACAGGUUGAUAUUCCUGUACCACUACCAUCGUUAUUAUCGAGGGUGUGACGGAGAAGGAUAGUGUGUGCUAGCGAUUGGAAAUGCUAGUCUAAGCGUUUAGGCAGUUACGGUAGGCAAAUCCGCUGUAAUGUUAAUGCUGAGGCGUGAUGGGGAAGGCCCUUGAGGCUGAAGUACAUGAUUCCAUGCUUCCAAGAAAAGCAUCUAGAGAGAGAAGUAGUGCCCGUACCGCAAACCGACACAGGUAGAUGAGGAGAGAAUCCUAAGGCCGGCGGAAGAAUUGCAGUUAAGGAACUAGGCAAAUUGACCCCGUAAGUUAGCGAGAAGGGGUGCCUGCGAGAGCAGGCCGCAGAGAAUAGGCCCAAGCAACUGUUUAGCAAAAACACAGGUCUCUGCUAAAGCGCAAGCUGAUGUAUAGGGGCUGACGCCUGCCCGGUGCUGGAAGGUUAAGGGGAACACUUAGCGCAAGCGAAGGUGUGAACUUAAGCCCCAGUAAACGGCGGCCGUAACUAUAACGGUCCUAAGGUAGCGAAAUUCCUUGUCAGGUAAGUU